CAAAGGUACUAGCCCUCUUGAGGCCACGUGGUAUAGGAAGAAGAGGCUAGACUACGACAAAAGGAGAAUAAAAAGAGGAUUUUUCUUUCUCUGCUAAAGAAUUGGGCCUUUACCCUUGAAGAUGCAAAGCAGGAGUUGAUAUGUGAGAUUAUUGUUAAAGGAUUUUCUAAGCAUCUGAAGACGAAAUCAAGAGCCAUGGAUUGAAUAAACAGACUGAGAAGCUUCAUUAACUUUUUUCAAGCUAAUGGGGGAAUGAGGGCAUCUAUCUGCAAACCAGGAAGAGGACUCUCACCAGGAACCCAAUUGACUGGAACUAUGAUCUUGAACUCCCCAGCCUCCAGAACUGUGAUAAAUAAAUUUCUGUGUAUGCCGCUCA